rnacentral:piRNA from 2 species
UCAUAUAACCGGUGUGUCCUUCAGGAG